rnacentral:tRNA from 1 species
ACCUGGCUGGCUCGGUCGGUGGAGCGCACGACUCGUCAUCUCACGGUUGUGGGUUCGAGCCCCACGCUGGGUG